rnacentral:tRNA from 1 species
CAGAUGUUAGUAAAAAUCAUUACAGGACCUUGUCAUGGCCUAAUCACUAGUUAAACCCUAGUACAUCUUA